GCUCCAGUGGCCUAGUGGUUAGAGUGUCCGCCUCGUAUGUGGGAGGUCGCGGGUUCGAACCCCGACCGAAUCU